UUAAUUAAAACCAAAAAGAGGUAUACUAUUGUUAAUAGUAAAAUUGAAACUACAUUCUAAUUAAA
rnacentral:tRNA from 1 species